rnacentral:rRNA from 1 species
CCCUUAGAUGUUCUGGGCCGCACGCGCGCUACACUGACGAAUGCAACGAGCUUAUAACCUUGGCCGAAAGGUCUGGGUAAUCUCCAAAUUUCGUCGUGAUGGGGAUAGAUUAUUGCAAUUAUUAAUCUUCAACGAGGAAUGCCUAGUAAGCGCAAGUCAUCAGCUUGCGUUGAUUACGUCCCUGCCCUUUGUACACACCGCCCGUCGCUCCUACCGAUUGAAUGGUCCGGUGAAGCGUUCGGACCGUGGCCUUUGGACGGUUCGCCGUCUGUUGGCUGCGGGAAGUUCGUUAAACCUCAUCAUUUAGAGGAAGGAGAAGUCGUAACA